UACGUAGGUGGCAAGCGUUGUCCGGAUUUAUUGGGUUUAAAGGGUGCGUAGGCGGCCCCUGUAAGUCAGUGCUGAAAUAUCCCGGCUUAACCGGGAGGGUGGCAUUGAUACUGCGGGGCUAGAGUACAGAUGAGGUAGGCGGAAUUGACGGUGUAGCGGUGAAAUGCAUAGAUAUCGUCAAGAACACCGAUAGCGAAGGCAGCUUACUGGGCUGUAACUGACGCUGAUGCACGAAAGUGUGGGGAUCAAACAGG
rnacentral:rRNA from 1 species